AUGGAAAGGCAAGACUCUGCAACAGUAAUUCAAAGCCAGUUGGAGCACACGUUCCAUCAUUGUCUCUGUCUUUAAUCAUCUCAUUGAGCAUCUAUGUGAUGUAGAACUUUGGAUUAAGUUCAAGAAGUCCUGGUUCCUGUCAAUGGAGAGCUUUUUGAUCUAUAUUAAAGAAAUGUAGUACAUAAAGCCAGGUUGGCCUGCAAAUGAACGGGAAUCUCCUGGGAGGCGGCCCUGGUGGAGCUGGCGGGAGAAGGGAGCCAGACCUUGGAUGUAGGGGAUGGGAAUGGAGCUUGUGAAAAGAAAAGAUGAAGUGAAACAGUGUUUAGAGGCUUUAGAACACUACAGAGCUACCAUGAACUCCGAGCAAGUGUGUACAGAAUCAUGGAAGACAAAUGGGAGUCUUGUUUAUUGAAAAAACCACGAAGAGGGCAGCACCUGUGGCUCAAGGAGUAGGGCACCGGCCCCAUAUACCAGAGGUGGCGGGUUCAAACCCAGCUCCAGACAAAACAAAAACUGCAACAACAACAACAAAAAAAAAAAAAAAAAGAA